GGCAUAUGCAGAAACAAAAUGUUUAGGCUACAUAGAAACCUAAAUAUUUUGAAAGUCACGACACCUGUGCUGUUAAGAAACCCACAACAUUUUCAUGGAAAGCACUGGAUUUGUCUGUAUUAAGAUAAGCAAAGGGACUUUCAGCCAUCCCUCAUACCUCCUUUGUUUUUUUCCCCUAGACUUCCCUCUGUGUUACCGGGCUGAGUUAGUGGAUUUGACAUGGCUUCCUAGGGGCAUCCCUUUAGAAGGGAAUGAUUGUCUUGAGACAGUUGAAAUGAUGUGAGGAGUGGGAGUAAGGAAGAAUCGAAAGGUGACCCAUGUCAGAGAGGUAGGUAUGUUGGCAUUGUGUGCGUUUCACU
rnacentral:lncRNA from 1 species